rnacentral:lncRNA from 1 species
ACUCAAGUGACUUCCUCCUCUUGUCGUGAUAACUCUUCUAACGACUCUGAGCAAUCCUCAUCUUCUCCUGAAUCAUCUUAAUCUUUUCCGUAGUUUGUUGAACAAUCUCCGGUCCAACCACAACACUCUCACCGGACUCAUACCAACAUAAAGGUGUCCGACAUCUCCUACCAUACAAAGCUUCAAAUGGUGCCAUACCAAUGCUCGAAUGAAAACUAUUGUUGUAGGUAAACUCAAUCAAAGGUAAAAUAACAAUCCCAAGCACCUC